rnacentral:rRNA from 1 species
CCUACGGGUGGCAGCAGUGGGGGAUAUUGCACAAUGGGGGAAACCCUGAUGCAGCGACGCCGCGUGGGUGAAGAAGCGCCUCGGCGCGUAAAGUCCUGUCAGCAGGGAAGAAAAUGACGGUACCUGAAUAAGUAGCCCCGGCUAACUACGUGCCAGCAGCCGCGGUAAUACGAUGGGGGCAAGCGCUAUCUGGUUUUACUGGGUGAAAAGGGGGCGCAGACGGUGAUGCAAGCCAGGUGGGAAAGCCCGGGGCCCAAACCCGGGACUGCUCUUGGAACUGGGUGGCUGGAGUGCAGGAGGGGCAGGCGGAAUUCCAGGUGAAGCGGUGAAAUGCGUAGAUAUCAGGAGGAACACCGAUGGCGAAGGCGGCCUGCUGGACUGCAACUGACGUUGAGGCCCGAAAGCGUGGGGAGCAAACAGGAUUAGAUACCCGAGUAGUC